CGUGUGGGGGAGCGAGGCCUGGUGAGGCCUUGCCUUGUGGAGCUUGGGAGGCAGAGGGUGCUGGCGGUCAUUCAGUGUGAUUUCUGCCUGUUUCCCAGAGGGAGGGGUGAAGUCACCUGUGGUUGAGGAGGGAGAAAACCUGAUUUUAGCAAUGAGACUCCUCAUGUGCAGCUGAAAUGAGCAGAAAUACAAGCUUUUACUGUCUCUAAAACACUCAUUUAAUCCUCACACACACACCCUCUAUUUCUGCUUUCUGAGAGAACACACUUCCUCAUGCUGAGUUCGUAUCAUCUUAUGAAGUGCCACAGCUACCUCUCACCCAGCUUCAGGUCCUCAUGAAUAUUAAAACAAAGGAGAUCAUGGGAAGGAAAGUGGAAUAUUUGAAAGGACAUUUGAGGAAAUCCUCUUAAGAAUUACUGAAAAUAUCUCAUAAUAACAAGAAGAAAACCAGGUCACAUCCUUCCUGUUUCUUGUUCCUCAUUUCAAAUAAAAUAUUUAUUUUAAGUAGUUUAAUAAAGAAAACAGAGGCGAGAACCAAGAAAAGUCUUUAAUUUCUGAGGAAAUAUAGUUCCUUCAGCACUUGAGAGGAUUUUGUCUUAACACAAAGGAAGGAGCUGGGAUGAAGGACAGAA